rnacentral:misc_RNA from 1 species
UUUUUUUUUUUUUUUUUUUGGGUAUGUAUAACUGCUGAUCAAAGGGCACCAAAUAGUCAUUCACAAGGCAAAAGACCAAAAAAUCAUCAGGGCCAGUAUGCAUAUGCAUCUAUCAAGUUUUACCAACCACAUCAGUUAAGCGUAUGGACCACAAUUUAUUAUGCAGCAUUUCUUUCUGAGUUCAAAAGUGCUUUCAUUGUUGUGGAAAACGAAGUCUUUAUAUCUUAAUGCAUGUAUUUAAUUUAUUCAAAGCUAUCAUAGUGGGAUCCACCUUUCGGAAAAUAUGAAUCAAAGCAACGUGGACCAUCUUUCACAAGCUCUAGAAAGAAAUAAGAUAAUCUUCCACCUCAAAGCAAGUCCUAUUGUUUUUACCCCCAACUAUCCCAAAUGGUCUUGUUCUUUAAGAAAAAAGGGCAAUCAUCUGAAAAACACAUUAUAAGGUUCAUACUAUCUUAGGCACUGCCUAGGAAUUGACAACAAAUCACAUCUAGAAUUGUUUGCUCAAACUAUUGGUUCACAAUCCAUGUUUUGUUAUAGCUGAACUAAGCAAUUAGCUUUCUCACGUUGUUAAUGCCAAAUAAUUGAUGAACGUGUAUGUCACAGCUUUUAUAGGCCACUGGGUUGUUUAAAUUAGUGGUCCAAAAACAUAAAACUUUCUGCCCCAGUAGGAAAGAAACUUUUUAUGAAACCCAUAAACCGACGGCUGGACUUAAUAAAAUAUGUCAAAUCAAGACUACUAGUCAAGGCUGCCAGCAGAUUAUUUCUGUUUGACCAUUGAAAAAAAAAGGUCAAACCAUAUAGUUUUCACAUGAUAAAAAUGUAAAAUGUCCAGCAAACACUAGAUUCUUUUUAGGAGGGAAAGGCACUUAUUGUGGUCGGGUACCAUGCGGGGCUAGCUUCGACAAACCAGACUAGUUCCAUUUUCUGUUUAAAAACCAGCUAUCCACACUAAAACUAGGGGAUUCAAGCCUUGCCUUGAAAUUGAACCACCAAUUCAAAGCCAAUCCUCAGCUUGCAUCAUGUUUGACCCAAUGCAAUUGAAGAUUACGCCACGUCAAUUAAGUUGCACUUCCAAGGAACCAAAGCACCAA